GGGCUUGUAGCAUAGUUUGGAUACUUAUGCGGACAAGUUUUAAGCAUUAGCCAAAGAAUGCACCGGCCUUCUAAGCCGGGGACCGUGGGUUCAAAUCCCUCCAAGCCCA
rnacentral:tRNA from 1 species